GACGAACGCUGGCGGCGUGCCUAAUACAUGCAAGUCGAGCGCAGGAAACUGACGGAACUCAUCGGAGGGAAGGCAGUGGAAUGAGCGGCGGACGGGUGAGUAACACGUAAGGAACCUGCCUCAAGGAUUGGGAUAACUCCGAGAAAUCGGAGCUAAUACCGGAUAGUUCAACGGACCGCAUGGUCCGCUGAUGAAAGGCGCUCCGGCGUCACCUUGAGCUGGCCUUGCGGUGCAUUAGCUAGUUGGUGGGGUAACGGCUCACCAAGGCGACGAUGCAUAGCCGACCUGAGAGGGUGAUCGGCCACACUGGGACUGAGACACGGCCCAGACUCCUACGGGAGGCAGCAGUAGGGAAUCUUCCACAAUGGACGAAAGUCUGAUGGAGCAACGCCGCGUGAGUGAUGAAGGUUUUCGGAUCGUAAAACUCUGUUGUAAGGGAAGAACACGUACGAGAGGAAAUGCUCGUACCUUGACGGUACCUUACGAGAAAGCCACGGCUAACUACGUGCCAGCCGCCGCCGUAAGAC
rnacentral:rRNA from 1 species